rnacentral:tRNA from 1 species
UCCCUGGCAGUCCAGUGGUUAGGACUCAGCACUUUCACUGCUAAGAGCCCAGGUUCAAUCCCUGGUCAGUGAA